UACGUAGGGCGCAAGCGUUGUCCGGAAUCAUUGGGCGUAAAGAGCUCGUAGGCGGCCUGUCGCGUCCGCUGUGAAAACUCGGGGCUUAACCCCGAGCCUGCAGUGGAUACGGGCAGACUAGAGGUAGGUAGGGGAGAACGGAAUUCCCGGUGUAGCGGUGAAAUGCGCAGAUAUCGGGAGGAACACCGGUGGCGAAGGCGGUUCUCUGGGCCUUACCUGACGCUGAGGAGCGAAAGCGUGGGGAGCGAACAGG
rnacentral:rRNA from 1 species